rnacentral:rRNA from 1 species
GUGGGGAAUAUUGGACAAUGGGCGAAAGCCUGAUCCAGCCAUGCCGCGUGUGUGAAGAAGGUCUUCGGAUUGUAAAGCACUUUAAGUUGGGAGGAAGGGCAGUAAGUUAAUACCUUGCUGUUUUGACGUUACCGACAGAAUAAGCACCGGCUAACUUCGUGCCAGCAGCCGCGGUAAUACGAAGGGUGCAAGCGUUAAUCGGAAUUACUGGGCGUAAAGCGCGCGUAGGUGGUUUUGUAAGUUGGAGGUGAAAUCCCCGGGCUCAACCUGGGAACUGCCUCCAAAACUGCAUGACUAGAGUACGUGAGAGGGUAGUGGAAUUGCCUGUGUAGCGGUGAAAUGCGUAGAUAUAGGAAGGAACACCAGUGGCGAAGGCGACUACCUGGACUGAUACUGACACUGAGGUGCGAAAGCGUGGGGAGCAAACAGGAUUAGAAACCCGAGUAGUCC